UACAGAGGGUGCGAGCGUUGUCCGGAAUCACUGGGCGUAAAGGGCGCGUAGGCGGCUUGGUAAGUAGGGGGUGAAAUCUUGCGGCUCAACUGCAAGGCUGCCUCCUAAACUGUCAGGCUUGAGCACAGUAGAGGCAGGUGGAAUUCCCGGUGUAGCGGUGGAAUGCGUAGAGAUCGGGAAGAACAUCGGUGGCGAAGGCGGCCUGCUGGGCCUUACCUGACGCUGAGGAGCGAAAGCGUGGGGAGCGAACAGG
rnacentral:rRNA from 1 species